UACAGAGGAGCCAAGCGUUGUCCGGAUUGACUGGGCGUAAAGCGCACGCAGGCGGUUGCGCGCGUGGGGGGGGAAAUCUGGCCGCUUAACGGCCAGGCGCCAUCCCAUACGGCGCGACUGGAGCAAUGCAGAGGUCGGUGGAAUUGCCGGUGUAGUGGUGAAAUGCGUAGAGAUCGGCAGGAACACCCAGGGGGAAACCAGCCGACUGGGCAUUUGCUGACGCUGAGGUGCGAGAGCGUGGGGAGCGAACCGG
rnacentral:rRNA from 1 species